GACGUAGGGAGCGAGCGUUGUCCGGAUUCAUUGGGCGUAAAGCGCGCGUAGGCGGCCUCGCAAGUCGGUUGUGAAAUCCCGGGGCUCAACCCCGGGACUGCGUCCGAUACUGCGAGGCUGGAGGUAGGUGGGGGAGAUCGGAAUUCCUGGUGUAGCGGUGAAAUGCGCAGAUAUCAGGAGGAACACCGGUGGCGAAGGCGGAUCUCUGGGCCUUACCUGACGCUGAGGCGCGAAAGCUAGGGGAGCGAACAGG
rnacentral:rRNA from 1 species